AGAGUUUGAUCCUGGCUCAGGAUGAACGCUGGCGGCGUGCCUAAUACAUGCAAGUCGAGCGAACGGACGAGAAGCUUGCUUCUCUGAUGUUAGCGGCGGACGGGUGAGUAACACGUGGAUAACCUACCUAUAAGACUGGGAUAACUUCGGGAAACCGGAGCUAAUACCGGAUAAUAUUUUGAACCGCAUGGUUCAAAAGUGAAAGACGGUCUUGCUGUCACUUAUAGAUGGAUCCGCGCUGCAUUAGCUAGUUGGUAAGGUAACGGCUUACCAAGGCAACGAUGCAUAGCCGACCUGAGAGGGUGAUCGGCCACACUGGAACUGAGACACGGUCCAGACUCCUACGGGAGGCAGCAGUAGGGAAUCUUCCGCAAUGGGCGAAAGCCUGACGGAGCAACGCCGCGUGAGUGAUGAAGGUCUUCGGAUCGUAAAACUCUGUUAUUAGGGAAGAACAUAUGUGUAAGUAACUGUGCACAUCUUGACGGUACCUAAUCAGAAAGCCACGGCUAACUACGUGCCAGCAGCCGCGGUAAUACGUAGGUGGCAAGCGUUAUCCGGAAUUAUUGGGCGUAAAGCGCGCGUAGGCGGUUUUUUAAGUCUGAUGUGAAAGCCCACGGCUCAACCGUGGAGGGUCAUUGGAAACUGGAAAACUUGAGUGCAGAAGAGGAAAGUGGAAUUCCAUGUGUAGCGGUGAAAUGCGCAGAGAUAUGGAGGAACACCAGUGGCGAAGGCGACUUUCUGGUCUGUAACUGACGCUGAUGUGCGAAAGCGUGGGGAUCAAACAGGAUUAGAUACCCUGGUAGUCCACGCCGUAAACGAUGAGUGCUAAGUGUUAGGGGGUUUCCGCCCCUUAGUGCUGCAGCUAACGCAUUAAGCACUCCGCCUGGGGAGUACGACCGCAAGGUUGAAACUCAAAGGAAUUGACGGGGACCCGCACAAGCGGUGGAGCAUGUGGUUUAAUUCGAAGCAACGCGAAGAACCUUACCAAAUCUUGACAUCCUUUGACAACUCUAGAGAUAGAGCCUUCCCCUUCGGGGGACAAAGUGACAGGUGGUGCAUGGUUGUCGUCAGCUCGUGUCGUGAGAUGUUGGGUUAAGUCCCGCAACGAGCGCAACCCUUAAGCUUAGUUGCCAUCAUUAAGUUGGGCACUCUAAGUUGACUGCCGGUGACAAACCGGAGGAAGGUGGGGAUGACGUCAAAUCAUCAUGCCCCUUAUGAUUUGGGCUACACACGUGCUACAAUGGACAAUACAAAGGGCAGCGAAACCGCGAGGUCAAGCAAAUCCCAUAAAGUUGUUCUCAGUUCGGAUUGUAGUCUGCAACUCGACUACAUGAAGCUGGAAUCGCUAGUAAUCGUAGAUCAGCAUGCUACGGUGAAUACGUUCCCGGGUCUUGUACACACCGCCCGUCACACCACGAGAGUUUGUAACACCCGAAGCCGGUGGAGUAACCUUUUAGGAGCUAGCCGUCGAAGGUGGGACAAAUGAUUGGGGUGAA
rnacentral:rRNA from 1 species